rnacentral:rRNA from 1 species
CCUACGGGAGGCAGCAGUGGAGAAUAUUGCACAAUGGGCGAAAGCCUGAUGCUGCAACGCCGCGUGGGCGAUGAAAGCCUUCGGGUCGUAAAGCUCUGUCCUCAAGGAAGAUAAUGACAGUACUAGCAGAGGAAGCGCCAGCGAACUACGUGUCAGCCGCAGCGGUAAUACGUAGGGGGCUAGCGUUAUCCGGAUUUACUGUGCGUGAAGGGUUCGUAGGUGGUUUCUUAUGUCAGAGGUGAAAGUCUACGGCUCAACCGUAGUAAGCCUAUGAAACUGGGGAACUUGAGUGCAGGAGAGGAGAGCGGAAUUCCGAGUGUAGCUGUGAAAUGCGUAGAUAUCAGGAGGAACACUAGUGGCGAAGGCGGGUUCCUGGACAGUAACUGACACUGAGGCACGAAAGCGUGGGGAGCAAACAGGAUUAGAUACCCGUGUAGUC